UACGUAGGGGCCGAGCGUUGUCCGGAGUUACUGGGCGUAAAGCGCGCGCAGGCGGUCUUCCAAGUCAGUGGUGAAAGCCUGGAGCUCAACUCCAGAACUGCCAUUGAAACUGUUAGACUUGAGUACGAGAGAGGUGAGUGGAAUUCCCAGUGUAGAGGUGAAAUUCGUAGAUAUUGGGAAGAACACCAGUGGCGAAGGCGGCUCACUGGCUCGUAACUGACGCUCAGGCGCGACAGCGUGGGGAUCAAACAGG
rnacentral:rRNA from 1 species